CGCCUACCUUCUCUGGUCCAAACAAAUCCAGAGCAUUCAGGAGCAGAAUCUAAAGUUAGAAGGAGGACAUACUGGUUUCAACACAGCAGCAAUUUGUGAUGCUUUAAGGACCAUAUAAAGAAGGAAAACCAGCCCCAGCACCAUGCACAGAGGGUGCAGGUUGAACUCCUGCGCUGAGCCGUCCCAGGCGAAACCCCCUCUGUAGUGACCCAUCCACACGCCAGUCAGCACCACCGACGCCAAACCCACAACCUGUGACGCUCCCACCAGCCACACAAAGGAAGAGCUACCGGAGCGUGGAGCAGGAUCCUCCAUGAUCUGAGAAAGAGAAACAGAACUGAGUUCAGCUGAAGCCUCUGUCUGUUACUGCUGCUUAAAUAAACGAGAAGAGCUGUGGGAGAGAAAGCACAAACAGAGCGAGGCCAAGUCACCUGGUUUAAAUAGCAGACAUUCAUCCUCAUCCACACAAAUGUUCCUGGAGACCUCUCCACUACCAAACCGAGGAAAUGUGCUGCUGUUCUUGGCUGAUCUCUCUGAUCUGAAUGGGACAAACCUGAUUAUAUAAAGAUCAAUCGAAUGAUAUGCGGAGCAGGCAAAAAAGCAAAAAGCAGACAUCUUUUGAAUGAAAAAGAAACAUCAUCGGGAGGUGAUUGUUUUUACCUCAUCUUUGAUUUGAGUUUCAUAAAACACUAUGUCAUGUAUUUUCAUUUUGUAUGGCUAUAAAAUCAACUUGAAGCUCCAUCCUGUGAGCUGACUAUGAAACAGACUGAAAUUAAAAUGUAUGCCUCUU